UUGAGCCAUCCUGCUAGCAGUCCCAGGGGCCAGGGGCCCCUGUCAGCGGGCAUCUGGAUCUCUUUGAGCUUUGGGUGUUGGGCAUCUGCUGGCAGGAAGAUGGGCAGCUGUGGGGCAGCCCCUUAGGCCCUGGGGCCCAGUGGGCAGCUGUGGGGAAAGCCCAGUGGGCCCUGGGGCACUUCAGGGAGCCCCCUGUCUCCACAGUGAGUUCUCAGCCAUCUGGGGGUCUGGCCUGUGUCACUGGGUGGGUGCCCCUACUCAAGAUGGUGCACAGGCCAAAGAAAACAUAUGAAGCUGUUUUGUGUCCACACUGGGGCCCCUCUGGGCUCUUAGCCACCACUAGAAGGGCGUGGCCAGGCUCAGUGGGCUCAGGGCACCUUUCCCUGCAGGCCUUUCCCCACUGUGUGCUGAGCACGGCCCUCCUCAUUCAGAAGGAACCUGGACACACUCCACCCCCCAAACCAGCCUCCCAGGAGGCACUGCCUGGGGCUCCCUUUGGCAGAGGAAAGGCUGUCUGGAGGGAGAGGCUGUGGCAGCAGGAGGGUGGAGCCCUGCUCUAAGGCAUUGGGGCGUGGAAGCUGUGGGGAGGGCUAGGCCCCCUGUGCGGGCAAAGUGCCCUGCCCACUGUGGCUCCCGCACACUCAGGGUGCAGUGGCUCAGUGCUGUCGUUGGGGCUGGCCGUCAGCUCCAGCCAGGUCAGGACUGCAUUCCUGCAGCUUCCCUGGGGCAGCUGUAGGUUCCUGAGGGGUGCUGGGGAGAGGUGCAGUUGGAGGUGAAGGCUGUCUGGGGAGCUUCUCUGAGCCUCCCCCGCCCUCCUUUGCCUCGGUCCCCAUGGGCCCCAGCGCAGCAGCGUUACUCCUAUUUUGCACCCAGGACAGAAGCAAGGAAAGGCUGGACCAGCCAGAAAUGCGGGCACUCCCUGUUUAUAUCUGUCUGCCCAGCUGGGCCAGACUUCGAGUUGCGGUGGCCAAAAAGUAGCAGUGUGUCCUGCUAGGAAGCUUCAUAGCAUUUGUGGGCCCGGGGAGCCCAGAUCUUCCCCACUGAUGGCCUGAAGUUUGCAAAUGAUUAUAAAAUGAAUGCAGUCUGCAGGGAAAUCCCAACCUUGAGUUCUGAAUUCUAAUGUCGAGUAGGGGGAGCUGCAUGAAGUGUGAGGACCCCCCUCCACAAGACUCUUCCUGAGUAGUUGGUCCGUCCUCUCUCCCACCAUCUGCCCUGGGAGUAGGUCCUACCUGGAGCAGAACCUCUGCUGGGCCCAGGUCCUGACACAGGCCAAAGAGCCAGGUAAGAACCUACUCCAGGGAGGUUCUGGCUUUCCCAGGCCAUUUGCAUGCCCCUGGUCCAACAUGGCAGGACUCUGGGGGUACCACCCAGUCCAAGGGUGGGAGGACUUGCUCUUCCUGGAGCCCAGCAAGACACCUUGGCCCUGGGUCUGCUGGAAAUAGCUCCAAGAACUGCUGGGGGUGGGAGACAGGCCAGGGAGAUGUCUGGAGGGUGGGGGUGGAUGGUCCCCAGAUACAUCCUCACCCCACAAGGACCUGACUGAUGUCACUUUAGUGUGUGGGCCCCUCACUGCUGUAGCCUGUUUGCUGCCUGGGUGGGCAGCACUGACCCUGCUUUCAGAACAAGGAUCUGCCCUGCCCGCUAUGCCCACUUCCACACUUCUGCACCUGAGUCGUGACCCUUAGCUUCCUCCUGUCCAUCGUGUGCACACAUGCACGCACACCCACACCACAUAUAUGAGCAUGCACAGCAGUUCUCCAGAUCAAAAGGGGGACCUCUCUGUUCACUUCAGGCUCUAGGUGUGCACUCCUGGUCUCCCCCUCUUCUAAGUGAGGUAAAUGGACACAUUUGGGCCCCUGUCAUUGCCAAAGACCCUCAGACACCUUUACGUUGAUGUCAGAGGGCCACCAGCCUCUCCUGUUCAGGUGCUCUAGGAGAUGCUGCUAUGAAUGUCCAUGGAGCCCCAGACUUCUGUGGCCCUAGGGAGCCAGGCAGCAUGAGGAUACAGUCUUCUUGGGGCAACAGAAGUGGACUGCUUCUAUGAAGAACAUUCCAGACCACUCCCACCCUUUUUGGUUUGGAAACUUCUCUGGGAAUCAUCUGGGGCUCAUCACUCCCAGGCUCCAAGUUGACCCAUCCCUGAGGACUCUCCCUUCUUACUGUGACCUGUGAUACCUCCCGGGUCCCCUGGACACCAGCAUCUCAGACAGGGCUGACCAAGGACAGAGCUUGCAAUGUCCACGCAAGGAAGGGAACCAAUGAUCCUGUUCCUUGGACCCAUGGGAAAGGAGCAGUGUCCCCUGGAGUUCCUCAGCCCCUGCCUGGGGGUAAUGGUAACAGUGAGUUCCGAAGGCUCAGCCCCGGCCCCAGGGCUGCAGGCAAUGGAGAGAUAGGGGGAAGACGUUUCCAGAGAGACUCACUGAUGGCCAGUCUGCCACCCUCCAUCUUGCAACUUACCCAUUUAAGAGAGCCCUCUGUGCGUGAUGCUUUUGACCCCAGGUGAGAAGGUGGGAGCCAUGUCAUAGCUGAUUUUCCUCCCCAGUGCUACUUGGGGACAAUGUUUAAUGAGCCCUUAAGAAAGGUCAGUCUCUCCUACUUAGCUAAGAGUUCUUUACUGAGCUCCGAACAGAUGCAGCUGGAGUCACGGUUCUUAUGAACAAGUCAUUGAACUUGGAGGCCUUAUUUCCUCCCACCCAAAAUAUUACCCUUCUGCUGUCCAGGGGAAAUGAAAAAGAGGAAAGGCUGUGAGACACCAUGGAACGCUUAUGGCUGUCCCAGUAAUGGGAGACUGUUGGGUGCAAGGGCCCAGAGCCCGCUCCAGUCUCUGCACUUUGUCUGCGGCUUGGAUUCCGGAAGAGUUUCAUAAUUUCCAGAGCUGGUAGAAUUAAGAUGAAAGUGUAUUUUCCCGCACUCUCCUGAUCCCAGCAUCUGCAACACCAGCCAGGCUGCCCCAGCUUUUCCGGCAUGGGACACCCUCAGGAAAUAACAAAUUUUCUCAGAGCAAUUUAAAAUAUUUAAACCAUUUCAUAGAAAAACAGGGCAAAAGACCAAGGUAUGCAGGGCUGGCUCAACCGUGUUUUGGUAGUUACAGAAAGAGAACUUUGAUCAUGCUUCUUAUAUAUUUUAGAAGGAGUAAACAGAAUUACAUGGUCUUUUGUAAAGAAAAUCAAUUCUCUAUGAAGCCCAUCCUGGUCUCACUUCCUCAAGGGGCAGUACAGAAGGUCCUUGCCUGCCAGCAUUUUAUGAGAGGUUUCACACGACGCUCCAAUUAUUGAUAUGAGAACAACUAACUCAACUUUAAAAGAUUCAAACAUCUUGCUUCUUUGGUAAAUUUUUCUAUUCUGUCUGGUGAUUCUGAUGGCAUCUGUCUGUGCUGCACAGUUUACAGGUUUGGGGAAGUUAGCAUUGACCAUUCUCCUCAAUGAGGCCUUUGCAACAUGAUAUUUUUUAAAACAAGUCAGGGCAAGACUUUUUCAAUUUCUCACAUUUUAACCCAGAAACCAUAAAACAAGAAACUGUAAAUUAUUAUAUAGUUGACCCUUGAACAUCCUAGGGGACUAGGGGCACCAACUCCCCCUACAGCCAAAAUCUGCCUAUAACUUUUGACUCCCCCAAAACCUAACUACUAAUAGCCUACUGUUGGCUGGAAGCCUUACCAAUAACAUAACAGUUAAUUAACACUUAUUUUAUAUGUUGUGUGUAUUAUAUACCAUAAUCUUACAAUAAAGAGAAAUCAAAAUGUUUUUUUCAAAUUGUCAAAAAAUCUCUGAAAAAUUUUUUCCAAUAUAUUUAUUUUUAAAAAGUAUUCAUAUAAGUGGACCCAUGGCAGUUCAAACCCGUGUUGUUCAAAGGUCAGCUGCACUGCAUUUUUACUUAAUGCUUCCAGAAUAUGUUGUAAGGCCCAACCUAAAAUCAUGGCCAUCUUAUUCAAGGAAACCAGUUUAAAAUUUGUUAAACUUGUGUUUAAUUUGUUAACAUGUGUUUUAAAAUGUAUUAAUACACUUAGAAGACUAGGGAAACUUUUUGUUGGCAUCGGAGAUCUGGCUCAGUUUAGACCAAAACAAUCGCUAUUUAUAUUCCUUUAUAUUAUAAGCAUAAGUGGAAUCAUCACAAUUGAUUCCUUUCCAUUUAGCUUCCAGCCAAACCACUUAAUAAGCCCAUGAUAACUUGAGUGAUAACUCAAAUGAGAUUCUAAUAAUUUACUUUUGUAUUAUGAUAUGCUUCAACUAAUUUAUUCUUAGGGAUCAUCCUGGACCCAAAGUUUUUGUAGACAGUUGAUCCUCCGAACCGCCCCUAUGGCAGCUCCUUCACGGACGGUGCUGCUGUCAACAAGAUGUUUGAUGUUGUCACAUAAGACUUCGUGCUGGCCGCCGGCUCCCUGCCAGGUUUCUCCACAUGCUGGCUGGCACGUGGCCUCCGUCUUUCCUCUGGCUUCUGUGACUGGCAGCCCUCCCUCCAGCCAAAUUUUUUCUGCCUUCCUGGUCCCUCUCUCUCUGCCAACCCCUUCAAGAGUUCUCUUUCCCAUGUGAGCUCCUUGAUUAUUUCCUCAUACUACACGGUAUUUGCUACAAUCCCACAAGCUUCCUCCACCAUCCUUACACUGACCAUCCUCACUCUGGCUCUCCAUGGUGGUGGGCACAGCAUCUCUGUGCCCUCUAAACUCUCAGGUCCACAGUGGAAGUGCUUUCCCCCAAGCCCAGCCUCGGAGCCCUUUGGUCCCGGCGCCAGAGACCUCAGAGUCACUGCUGACUCCACACCCCUUCCCUCACCUGCUUCAUUCGGCUCCCUUGCCCAUCAGUUCCAACCGCUCCUGAGAUUCACGUUUUCUUCUUUGUGUCUCUGCCACCAGUUCAGACCUCAUAUUCUCCAAGAAGCCUUAGAAUAUAAGGAAUGUUUUAUUUAUCUUUGCAUCCCAAGGGCUGUUCACAUAGCAGGUCCUCAAUAAAUCUUUUUUAUUGGUGAACUGAAAUGAAAAGUUGGACUUUACUGAAAUGGCAAACUAGCAGGAGGGUGUCCUCUUUUACUGAGUCAAACUCAGUAAAUCUGCUUCUACAAAAUUCCACUCUGUUCUGAGAAGAAGAUAUCUGAGUACUUGAGGUUGUAACUUUAUUCUUUGUGGCUAUAUUUAAUUUUUAUUUGCCCGUUUUACAGAAGCAUUGGAAAAAUGAAUUUGCCACUCUCUCAUUUUCCUCUCUUCACUAGCAUUUUCUUUCCUAUGUAUUUCCUAUUAGUGCAUCAAAUGCUUGUUUGUUUGCGGCCAAAUUUUGUAGUAAAAAAAAAUUCUUUCCAAAUUAA